rnacentral:misc_RNA from 1 species
CUCAACUGCUCAGCUUCCACAACCAUGGUGUCGGGUAAGUCUCUUUCUAGCUCUCUGCAAGUAACAAUCGAUAGAUAUGUAAUAAUUAUUAUUCUUUUUUCACAAUUGGCUCUGCGUACCUUCUGCAAAUAGUUACCGAUUCUUAUUCUUUUGCAGAUUUACAACAUGGUGCUGUCAUAUAUUUGGGCUAAUGAUAAAACUGUCCAAGCAGCUCUUCAUGUUCGAGAGGGAACCAUAAAGGGUUGGGAGAGAUGCAAUAGCAGCUUAAAUGCCACUAAUUACGCACAUGAUAUCACAUCCAGUGUUUCGUAUCAACAAAACCUUACCAAGAAAGGCUUUCAUGCUUUAAUUUACAGUGGUGAUCAUGACAUGGUUGUACCACAUGUGGGCACACAACAAUGGAUAAAGUAUCUAAAUUUAACCGUUAAAGAUGAUUGGCGUCCAUGGUUCGUCAAUAGUCAAAUUGCAGGGUUAGUUUUCAGAUUGAACUUUUGAUUAUGAUUUUGCAAAUUUACUUCCAUCUAAUUAUUGCAUUUCCAUGUUCUAUUUCAUGAUCAUUUGAAAUUAACUUUGUAAUCAAUUUUGCUGCAACUAUGUAACUAUGUAUUCGAAGAACAAGUACAUUUUGACGUAUGCAACUGUUAAGGGUGCAGGUCACACAGCUCCAGAAUACAAACCUGAACAAUGCCUUGCCAUGGUUGAUAGGUGGUUUGCAGAUUAUCUACUGUAGAAUAUAAACUUCUACAGAAAAGGAAAUUUUUUUAAUUAGAUAUUUUAUUUGUUUUAAUUUGUCAUUUUUAUUGUGAGGGUCCAUUUUUCUGUUUGGUUACGUGGUCAAUUUGCAUUGCCGUCUCAGGCUCAGCUCCUAAAGAAUGCAUUGUUUUCGAGUUUGACAGGCAUAACAAUCAAAUUUUAUUUGCAAACAAAGAUAAGUGCAUGCCUUCAUUUAGAUCACCAAAAACACGCUUCGAUUGAUUACAAAAGAGUGAUCAAUGUUUGACAUUUUUUUUUUUAUCGAAAGAGCAAGCCUUCUAAACCAUAAGAAGUACAUGUGUAGAUGGAAGAACCAGACCAUUAAAACACACAAAUUAUGACAAACAAAGAUGUUUUAUGGAGAUCAGAAAGCCAAGCCAGAAUCACUGAACUUCUGCUCAGUUAUUUGGUCAAUUCGAGCUGCCAUUUCAGCUGUCAAAUACUUUUUCCCAUCACCAACCUUACCUUUCCUGAA